GGCGUGCCUAAUACAUGCAAAGUAGAACGCUGAAGCUUGGUGCUUGCACCGAGCGGAAGAGUUGCGAACGGGUGAGUAACGCGUAGGUAACCUGCCUCUUAGCGGGGGAUAACUAUUGGAAACGAUAGCUAAUACCGCAUAAAAGUCGGCAUUGCAUGAUGUUGACUUGAAAGGUGCAACUGCAUCACUAAGAGAUGGACCUGCGUUGUAUUAGCUAGUUGGUGAGGUAACGGCUCACCAAGGCGACGAUACAUAGCCGACCUGAGAGGGUGAUCGGCCACACUGGGACUGAGACACGGCCCAGACUCCUACGGGAGGCAGCAGUAGGGAAUCUUCGGCAAUGGACGGAAGUCUGACCGAGCAACGCCGCGUGAGUGAAGAAGGUUUUCGGAUCGUAAAGCUCUGUUGUAAGAGAAGAACGAGUGUGAGAGUGGAAAGUUCACACUGUGACGGUAACUUACCAGAAAGGGACGGCUAACUACGUGCCAGCAGCCGCGGUAAUACGUAGGUCCCGAGCGUUAUCCGGAUUUAUUGGGCGUAAAGCGAGCGCAGGCGGUUAGAUAAGUCUGAAGUUAAAGGCUGUGGCUUAACCAUAGUACGCUUUGGAAACUGUUUAACUUGAGUGCAGAAGGGGAGAGUGGAAUUCCAUGUGUAGCGGUGAAAUGCGUAGAUAUAUGGAGGAACACCGGUGGCGAAAGCGGCUCUCUGGUCUGUAACUGACGCUGAGGCUCGAAAGCG
rnacentral:rRNA from 1 species